AGAGUUUGAUCCUGGCUCAGAACGAACGCUGGCGGCGUGCUUAACACAUGCAAGUCGAGUGCGCGGUUGUAGCAAUACAACUGGCGCACGGCGCACGGGUGCGUAACACGUGGGCAAUCUGCCCUUCGAUGGGGAAUAACUCCGGGAAACCGAAGCUAAUUCCGCAUAACAUUCCUUGGACCUCGGUUUGAGGACUCAAAGCCGUAAGGCGUCGAAGGAGGAGCCCGCGCACGAUUAGCUAGUUGGUAGGGUAACGGCCUACCAAGGCUUUGAUCGUUAGCUGGUCUGAGAGGAUGGCCAGCCACACUGGAACUGAGACACGGUCCAGACUCCUACGGGAGGCAGCAGUGGGGAAUCUUGCACAAUGGGCGAAAGCCUGAUGCAGCGACGCCGCGUGGGGGAUGAAGCAUUUCGGUGUGUAAACCCCUUUCGACCCGGACGAAUGCCUCGCAAGAGGAGUGACGGUACGGGUAUAAGAAGCCCCGGCUAACUACGUGCCAGCAGCCGCGGUAAGACGUAGGGGGCCAGCGUUGUUCGGAAUUACUGGGUGUAAAGGGUUCGUAGGCGGUGUGGCAAGUUGGGAGUGAAAUCUCUGGGCUCAACCCAGAGGCUGCUUCCAAAACUGCUGUGCUUGAGUGUGGGAGAGGCGCGUGGAAUUGCAGGUGUAGCGGUGAAAUGCGUAGAUAUCUGCAGGAACACCCGUGGCGAAAGCGGCGCGCUGGACCACAACUGACGCUGAGGAACGAAAGCUAGGGGAGCAAACAGGAUUAGAUACCCUAGUAGUCC
rnacentral:rRNA from 1 species